GUGUGCUGCUUGGUCAGGGAGGGGUCACACAGACCUUGGAGUAUCUGCCUUAGCGCAAUGGACAGACCAUACUUUCAAGCCAACCGUUCCCCAUGAGAAGACUGCAGAGCCUGAAUCCCUUCUCCUUGAGUGUGGACUGUGCUUAGCAACCCACUGCUAACAAAUGGAAUGUAGCAGAAGGGACUGUGUAUGAUUCUGGAGACAAGGUCACAGAAAGCACUGUGGCUCCCUCCUUGCUUAGUCUCUCUUGGAUCACUCGCUCUGGAGGAAGCCAGCUGCAUGCCAUGUCAGGAAGACCCUCGACAGCCCCAUGGAGAAGUAUACUCAGCUGAGGCCUCCGGUCAACAAUCACAUGAGUAACCUUGGCAGCAGACCUCCGGCCCCAGUCAAGCCUUCUCAUGGCUGCAACCCUGGUUGACAUCUUGACCACAUCUUGGAAAGAAAUGGAAUUGGAACCACCCAGAUUUCUGACCCUGGAAACUGUAGGAGAUAAUAAAUGUGUGUUGGUUUAAGCA